rnacentral:rRNA from 1 species
GACGAACGCUGGCGGCGUGCCUAACACAUGCAAGUCGAACGGGGUCAGCCCUUCGGGACUGACUUAGUGGCGAACGGGUGAGUAACGCGUGAGGAACCUGCCUUCCAGUGGGGGACAACAGUUGGAAACGACUGCUAAUACCGCAUAACAUUCAUGGACCGCAUGAUCUGUGAAUCAAAGCUUUAUGUGCUGGAAGAUGGCCUGCGUCUGAUUAGCUAGUUGGUGGGGUUAAACGGCCCGACCAAAGGCGACGAUCAGUAGCCGGUCUGAGAGGAUGAACGGCCACAUUGGGACUGAGAUACGGCCCA